rnacentral:lncRNA from 1 species
AUGAGGCCUUACAUAACUUCUUGAAAAGAUCCAGCUUUGUGGUGAUUAUGGGUUGAUCUAGAAGUCUUCAUGGCAACCCUUCUUGGUCCAACAUUUCUAGACAUUUACUAGGAAAUGUUAGGCCUUUUUUUAUUUUAGUAACUUUGCGUUUGAAUUUCCAGCCGAAUCUAGAGUCUUCCGCACCCUUGUAACGUAUUAUUAUAUGGACAUGAGCUUCGUAGUUGUAUUCGGAAAGUUCCAACAUCCCUUAGCGCCUCUUGAAUAGACCAGAAUAUUUAGGAAGAAAGGUCACAUUGACGUAGCCACUGCACGAUCGUUUUGUUACGUCACAUCUCACGCACUACGAUACAUCAGUCGGUUCAUCCACUAUUCUAAACUACCCGAUUUAGUGAUGUUACUAUCCUAAAACAUGGACCUCACCAUUUACC